rnacentral:lncRNA from 1 species
CACAAGCUCCUUGCAGAGGGCAGUUCCUGAGGCUCGGAGCUGCCUUGCAGUUUGGCUGUUUGCAGGUGAGCAUCAAGCGUUGCUGCUGAAUAUCACUCAUGGAGACCAGCUAUGAGGCAGGUGCUUGGAGCCUGGGGUGUAUCUGCCUUGCAAACCUGCCUGCGGCGUGAACAGAUGGAGCUGUGAUUUGGCAAAGCAGCAGUGAGGAUUGCGCCAGGCACAGUGGGGAUGCCGCCGCGGGUGCUGCGCCUGGCACGGGGAUUUGGGCUUCAGUGGGACGUGCACACUCCAGGAUCUGAACAGAGCAGGUCAAAGGCGUGAGCGCAGGACGCUGGUGCUUGGACGUUGCUGGAGAGAGUGACCAUCCUGUGUGGGAGUCAUGGAGCAGCUGGGAGAGCCAGG